ACCCUGAUCCUGCAAUGCAGCGUGAGUGACGAAGGCCUUAGGGUUGUAAAACUCUUUCAUCGGUGAGGAUAAUGACAGUAGCCGAAGAAGAAGGACCGGCUAAUUCCGUGCCAGCAGCCGCGGUAAUACGGAAGGUCCUAGCGUUGUUCGGAAUUACUGGGCGUAAAGCGCAUGUAGGCGGAACAGAAAGUUAGAAGUGAAAUCCCUGGGCUCAACCUAGGAAUUGCUUUUAAAACUUCUGUUCUGGAAUUCAGGAGAGGAAAAUGGAAUUUCCAGUGUAGAGGUGAAAUUCGUAGAUAUUGGAAGGAACACCAGUGGCGAAGGCGAUUUUCUGGACUGAUAUUGACGCUGAGAUGCGAAGGCAUGGGUAGCAAACGGGAUUAGAUACCCCGGUAGUCCAUGCAGUAAACGAUGGGUGCUAGUCGUCGGACUUUUGUUCGGUGUCGUAGCUAACGCGUUAAGCACCCCGCCUGGGGAGUACGGUCGCAAGAUUAAAACUCAAAUAAAUUGACGGGGACCCGCACAAGCAGUGGAGCAUGUGGUUUAAUUCGACGCAACGCGAAGAACCUUACCAGCGUUUGACAUGGAAAGUACCGGUUACAGAAUGGUAACCUUCAGUUCGGCUGGCUUUCGCACAGGUGCUGCAUGGCUGUCGUCAGCUCGUGUCGUGAGAUGUUGGGUUAAGUCCCGCAACGAGCGCAACCCUUAUCGUUAGUUACUAACAGUUCGGCUGAGGACUCUAGCGAAACUGCCGGUGAUAAGCCGGAAGAAGGUGGGGAUGACGUCAAGUCCUCAUGGCCCUU
rnacentral:rRNA from 1 species